GACAAAGUAACUACAGUAAUGGCAAAAGUUUCCUAAUUUUGUCUUCAAAAGUCAAAUAGAAGGGCCCUUUCCAACAUCAAAAUGGAUACAAACUAUGGACUUUUAUUGAACAUCCUUAUUACCAUACAUAAUUAAAAACAUAAAUCACAGGUUUCAAUUGCACACAACAUAUAUAUAAUACUACUUUACCAGACAUAAAUCAGAGUUGGUCAAUGUUGUAAACUCUUUUUGGUCCAUUACUAGGAGUUGGAGGAGGUGGUGGUGGUAGUUGUGGACAGAAGCAAGCUUGUGUAGCCAAGUCACAUUUGGGUUUUUCUUCCGGCGGGAUGCAUGUCAUAAUUUCAGCACAAUCAGCAUCACUUGAGCAAGAAAACAAACCACUGCAUGAUUGCCCUACCAAGACAUAUAUAUACAUCAAUAACAAUAGUUGAAUCACACUAUUGUAUGUUGUUUGGGACAUACGAUAAGGAUAAUAGUCCCGGAAUAAAGUAUGAAAUUAACUUUAUCUUAUAUUUGGUAUGAGGUAUUAAUUAAUUCAGUGAUUAUUUUAGCAUACAGGUGCUUUUUAGCAUGUAUAUUGCAAUACUAUUUAGCAUCAACAUUAAGGGUGUGUUUGGUAAGGAGGAAAUUAUUUUUCGAAAAGUUUUUUAUUUUUUAAAGAAAAUUUCUGAUGUUUUGGUUUUUCAAAAUUUUUGAAAAACACUUUCUCUAGGAAAACAAGUUCCUUAAAGAUGAGAAAAAUGACUUCCUUAAUGGAAGUAGGAAAAAUAAAUUGUAUACGUAGCAUUCUAUGUUUAUUGAAUCAUCCCAUCUACCCAACGCCCCCAAACCCUAUUCCUUGACCAUCCCACCCCCGCGAGGCUAGACACCACACCCCCUCCUGCCUUUAUAUUUUUUUGCUAACCAAACACUAGAAAAUAAGUAAGAAAUCAACUUCUUUUUCAAGAAAAUAUUUUCUAAAAAAAAAAAUUUCUUGAAAAAUAUUUUCCUUCGUACCAAACACACCACCCACCCUAAAAUGAAAAUGUUAUCAUAGAAUAGAUAAAAAUUAGUAACAUUUUUGGCUUAUAAAAAUUGCUUACCUAACAAAACAAGCAAAAACGAGACCAGGAAAAUCUUUUGGAAUAUUGUCUUCUCCAUUUCUCUUAUAAAUUUUUUUGUGGUAGCAGUACUAUAACUAUAUGACUGUUAAUAUUG
rnacentral:lncRNA from 1 species